UGGUGUAUAGCUUAGCAGUGGAGCAUGUGCUUAGUGUGCACCAGGCCUUGGGUUCAAUCCCUAGCACCAA
rnacentral:tRNA from 1 species